UCAGUCAGAGCGUAUUGUCUCCGUAGUUUCCGCAUUAUUUAACGUUAAAGAUCGCGUCGUGCGCGUAAAUGAUAAUCAAAAGUGUCGGAAAAAGGGUUGGACGAUAAUCGGGAGAUAUAAAUUAUCGCGUGCGAUCAUUAUUCGUCGUGUUUUUUCGAUAUUCCGUUUCGUACGAUCGCAGCAACUUGAACUUGACGGUAGGGCCCUCUCGCGAGGAGUGAAGUAGCGCGCAUGAGCGGCCGCCAUUUUCAUCACGAUCUUCGCGCGCUCGCCGCAUCGCUGUGUUGACUCGGAGUCCGUCGUCCUCGUAGUUUUCGUAUUAUUUAACGCUUAAAAUCGUGUUGCGCGCGUAAACGUUAAUCGGAAAUGUCGGAAAAAGUAUCGGGCGAUUGUCGGAAGGUAUCAGUUAUCGUGUGAUCGUCAUUUGCCGUGUGCUUUUCCGAUUCGUGCGAUUCGAGGCGAGUAGCAAGCGUUUUCGACGUGACUUUGGCACGAUGCUCUUUCGAAGCGCAGCGUAUUGUCUUCACAGUUUUCGCAUUAUUUAACAUUUAAGAUCGCGUUGUGCGCGUAAACGAUAAUCGGAAGCGUCGAGAAAAGUAUCGGGCGAGUGUCGGAAAGUGUCACGAACAGACAUUUGUUUGCGCUUUUUGCAUGAUCGGAGCGACACCACUUGAACAACAAUCGAGAGGGGGUGGCCGUGACGAGGUGCGAUAUAAUUCGACAAUGUAAAAUUCGAGAGUGCUGUUAAAAGUAUUGCGUGUACAAGUGCGGGAGUGCCGUUAAAAAUAUCGCGCGUUAUCAAUUGUUAAUUAAUAGACUUUGAUAACCCUGACAACCUGAGAGGAGUAGGAGAGGCAUUGGGUAUCAGCGGAGCAACCCUAGGAUAACGUAGCAUCGAUAUCAACAACUUCGCUGUUGCGCAAUGGUGUUGGUGAGUGACAAACUUUUAUUUAAUUUUGUAGUAGCGAAUUUGUAGAAAUUGUAGAUGUAGAUUGUAGAUUAUAAAUUGUAAAUAAAUCUAUUGCCUUACAAUGGAUGAUUCAAUUUAUC